GUGCCAGCGCGGUAAUACGGAGGGUGCAAGCGUUAAUCGGAAUUACUGGGCGUAAAGCGCACGCAGGUGGCUGAGUCAGUCGAUUGUGAAAGCCCUGGGCUUAACCUGGGAAUUGCAGUCGAUACUACUCAGCUAGAGUAUGGGAGAGGGUAGUGGAAUUCCCGGUGUAGCGGUGAAAUGCGUAGAUAUCGGGAGGAACAUCAGUGGCGAAGGCGGCUACCUGGACCGGUUCUGACGCUGAUGCGCGAAAGCGUGGGGAGCAAACAGG
rnacentral:rRNA from 1 species